rnacentral:rRNA from 1 species
GGAAAACUGCGAAUGGCUCGGUAAAUCAGUUAUAGUUUAUUUGAUAGUGCAGCUACUCGGAUAACCGUAGUAACACUAGAGCUAAUACGUGCGUAAAUCCCAACUUUCGGAAGGGACGUAUUUAUUAGAUUUAUGGCUAACCGGGCUUGCCCGACCAGCGGUGAAUCAUGGUAACUUGACGGAUUGCAUGGCCUUUGUGCCGGCGACGUGUCAUUCAAGUUUCUGCCCCAUCAGGUUUCGACUGUAGUGUAUUGGACUACAGUGCCUAUAACGGGUAGCGGAGGAUUAGGGUUCGAUUCCGGAGAGGGAGCCUGAGAAACGGCUACCACAUCCAAGGAAGGCAGCAGGCGCGCAAAUUACCCAAUCCCAAUUCAGGGAGGUAGUGACAAGAAAUAGCAAUGCGGAGCUUCGUGUUCUGCAAUUGGAAUGAGAACAAUUUAAACCACUUAACGAGUAUCAAUUGGAGGGCAAGUCUGGUGCCAGCAGCCGCGGUAAUUCCAGCUCCAAUAGCGUAUAUGUAAGUUGUUGCGAUUAAAAAGCCCGUAGCUGAACCUCGGGUAGCCCUGACGGUCCGCCUAAGGUGAGUACUGUCGUGGGCUGCCUUUCUGCUGGGUGCCGUAUCCGGCGUUUACUCGCCGUGAACGGAGCCCAGCAAGGUUACUUUGAGUAAAAUAGAGUGUUCAAAGCAAGCAUGUGCUCUGAAUACACUAGCAUGGGAUAACACGACAUGACCGAUGGUCUAUCUUGUUGGCCUGUAGACCCGUUGGUAAUGGCUAAUAGGGACGGUCGGGGGCAUUCGUAUUUCGCUGUCAGAGGUGAAAUUCUUGGAUUUGCGAAAGACGAACUACUGCGAAAGCAUUUGCCAAGGACGCUUUCAUUAGUCAAGGACGAAAGUCGGGGGAUCGAAGACGAUUAGAUACCGUCGUAGUCUCGACCAUAAACGAUGCCAAUUAGGGAUUGGAGGGCGGAUAGAUAUGCCUCCUCCAGCACCUUCCGCGAAAGCAAAAUUUAUGGGCUUCGGGGGGAGUAUGGUCGCAAGGCUGAAACUUAAAGGAAUUGACGGAACGGCACCACCAGGCGUGGAGCCUGCGGCUUAAUUUGACUCAACACGGGAAAACUUACCAGGUCCAGACAGAAGUAGGAUUUACAGAUUGAUAGCUCUUUAAAGAUUUUUUGGAUGGUGGUGCAUGGCCGUUCUUAGUUCGUGGAUUGAUUUGUCAGGUUGAUUCCGGUAACGGACGAGACCCCAACCUACUAACUAGCUCUGCUUGAAUCUCAGGCAGCCAGCUUCUUAGAGGGACUCUCGGAAUGAAACCGAAGGAGGUGGGGCAAUAACAGGUCUGUGAUGCCCUUAGAUGUCCUGGGCCGCACGCGCGCUACACUGAUGCAUUCAACGAGCCAACCCUGUGCCGAGAGGUACGGGUAAUCUGCGAAAGUGCAUCGUGAUGGGGCUAGAUUAUUGCAAUUAUUGAUCUUCAACGAGGAAUGCCUAGUAAGCGCGAGUCAUCAACUCGCGUUGAUUACGUCCCUGCCGUUUGUACACACCGCCCGUCGCUCCUACCGAUUGGGUGUGCUGGUGAAAUGUUCGGAUUGGACGGCCUUCCGUCAGGGGGCAGUUUGAGAAGUUCAUUGAACCCUCUCACCUAGAGGAAGGAGAAGUCGUAACAAGG